rnacentral:misc_RNA from 1 species
GAUGAAGAACGCAGCGAAAUGCGAUAAGUAAUGUGAAUUGCAGAAUUCAGUGAAUCAUCGAAUCUUUGAACGCACAUUGCGCCCGCCAGUAUUCUGGCGGGCAUGCCUGUUCGAGCGUCAUUUCAACCAUCAAGCCCCCGGCUUGUGUUGGGGGCCUGCGGCUGCCGCAGGCCCUGAAAAGCAGUGGCGGGCUCGCUGUCACACCGAGCGUAGUAGCAUACAUCUCGCUCUGGGCGUGCUGCGGGUUCCGGCCGUUAAACCACCUUCAUAACCCAAGGUUGACCUCGGAUCAGGUAGGAAGACCCGCUGAACUUAAGCAUAUCAAUAAGCGGAGGA